rnacentral:rRNA from 1 species
GACGAACGCUGGCGGCGUGCUUAACACAUGCAAGUCGAACGGAAAGGCCCUGCUUUUGUGGGGUGCUCGAGUGGCGAACGGGUGAGUAACACGUGAGUAACCUGCCCUUGACUUUGGGAUAACUUCAGGAAACUGGGGCUAAUACCGGAUAGGAGCUCCUGCUGCAUGGUGGGGGUUGGAAAGUUUCGGCGGUUGGGGAUGGACUCGCGGCUUAUCAGCUUGUUGGUGGGGUAGUGGCUUACCAAGGCUUUGACGGGUAGCCGGCCUGAGAGGGUGACCGGCCACAUUGGGACUGAGAUACGGCCCAGACUCCUACGGGAGGGAGCAGUGGGGAAUAUUGCACAAUGGGCGGAAGCCUGAUGCAGCAACGCCGCGUGCGGGAUGACGGCCUUCGGGUUGUAAACCGCUUUCGCCUGUGACGAAGCGUGAGUGAAGGUAAUGGGUAAAGAAGCACCGGCUAACUACGUG